rnacentral:rRNA from 1 species
UUACGGGAGGCAGCAGUGAGGAAUUUUGCGCAAUGGGAGCAAUCCUGACGCAGCAACGCCGCGUGAGUGAAGAAGGCCUUCGGGUCGUAAAGCUCUGUCAGGUGGGAAGAAGUGAGUGGGUGCAAAUAGUGCCUGCUUUUGACGGUACCACCAGAGGAAGCACCGGCUAACUCCGUGCCAGCAGCCGCGGUAAUACGGAGGGUGCAAGCGUUAUUCGGAAUUACUGGGCGUAAAGCGCGUGUAGGCGGGAAGGUAAGUCUGAUGUGAAAGCCCCGGGCUUAACCUGGGAAGUGCAUUGGAAACUGCUUUUCUUGAGUACUGGAGAGGAAGGGAGAAUUCCCGGUGUAGAGGUGAAAUUCGUAGAGAUCGGGAGGAACACCAGUGGCGAAGGCGCCCUUCUGGACAGUUACUGACGCUGAGACGCGAAAGCGUGGGGAGCAAACAGGAUUAGAUACCCCGGUAGUCCC